CUGCAGUCGAGGGGUAUAGGUUUUCGGACCUAGAGACCGGCGCACGGGUGCGUAACGCGUAUGCAAUCUACCUUUCACAGAGGGAUAGCCCAGAGAAAUUUGGAUUAAUACCUCAUAGUAUAACGACUCGGCAUCGAGAUGUUAUUAAAGUCACAACGGUGAAAGAUGAGCAUGCGUCCCAUUAGCUAGUUGGUAUGGUAACGGCAUACCAAGGCGACGAUGGGUAGGGGUCCUGAGAGGGAGAUCCCCCACACUGGUACUGAGACACGGACCAGACUCCUACGGGAGGCAGCAGUGAGGAAUAUUGGACAAUGGGCGCAAGCCUGAUCCAGCCAUGCCGCGUGCAGGAUGACGGUCCUAUGGAUUGUAAACUGCUUUUGCACAGGAAGAAACAACUCUACGUGUAGAGUCUUGACGGUACUGUGAGAAUAAGGAUCGGCUAACUCCGUGCCAGCAGCCGCGGUAAUACGGAGGAUCCAAGCGUUAUCCGGAAUCAUUGGGUUUAAAGGGUCCGUAGGCGGUCUUAUAAGUCAGUGGUGAAAUCUCCCCGCUCAACGGGGAAACGGCCAUUGAUACUGUAGGACUUGAAUUAUUAGGAAGUAACUAGAAUAUGUAGUGUAGCGGUGAAAUGCUUAGAGAUUACAUGGAAUACCAAUUGCGAAGGCAGGUUACUACUAAUGGAUUGACGCUGAUGGACGAAAGCGUGGGUAGCGAACAGGAUUAGAUACCCUGGUAGUCCACGCCGUANACGAUGGAUACUAGCUGUUGGAAGCAAUUUCAGUGGCUAAGCGAAAGUGAUAAGUAUCC
rnacentral:rRNA from 1 species